rnacentral:lncRNA from 1 species
CAGAGAUCUAGGGGAAAGUUCAUAAGGGAGGCAGAGGGUGAGUUAUCGCUUCCUCUUCAGUCUGGACUGUUACAGCCAUCUUGAGCUAUCGUGGAAGGGUAGUUCAUAAUCAGGGAACACAAAAGAUGUUAUGGGUCUCAUGGGGCCAAGCUGGAUCCGCAGAAGUAUAACAGAUAUGAGAGAAUUCCUUCUUCAUCACUGCAUUCCCCAAGAAGAUAAGAGAGUGCUCCUUGUGACCUACUUCCUCAAGCAUGGUUGCAGUGCUUGGGACCAGCUGUUAGCACAAGACUGUGCGUACUCUCUUGAUUUGUAAGCUUUUUGAUAAUACACUCUUGAACUUUCAAGUAUGUUGAUAAUACAGUACCAUAUGUAAACUUACUAAUGAUUCCUUGACAGUUCUAACUGAUGUCAUUUGUGACAAACGCCUUAUUCCUUUCUCACUAGUUCCC